rnacentral:pre_miRNA from 1 species
GUGGGGCCAGGUGGCUGUGGGCACAGCUGGGGUGGACACAGCAGCCAUGCAGAGCAGGCUUCUGACCCCUGUGUCGCCCUCUUCUCCAG